AUACGGAGGGUGCAAGCGUUGUUCGGAAUCACUGGGCGUAAAGGGCGCGCAGGCGGUUUGGUAAGUCAGAUGUGAAAGCCCACGGCUCAACCGUGGAAGUGCAUUUGAAACUGCCAGACUUGAGUACCGGAGGGGAAAGUGGAAUUCCCGGUGUAGAGGUGAAAUUCGUAGAUAUCGGGAGGAAUACCGGUGGCGAAGGCGACUUUCUGGCUGGAUACUGACGCUGAGGCGCGAAAGCGUGGGGAGCAAACAGAAUUAGAAACCCUAGUAGUCC
rnacentral:rRNA from 1 species